GGCUCCUCACCAACCCCCUCCUUGGAAUGUGGGGUUCACUUUCUUUUCCCACUCCCAGAGACCACUCCAAGGACCUAGUCUUGAGAUUGUGGUGUGAUAUUGAGAACACCUGCAUGGUAUACAUGAUUAAACCUGGUUAGGGCCUUUUUAUAAACUUUAUAAGAUUUGGCAGGCAGAGGCGGGAAUCCACUCUUCUUGCUGCCACCCAAGACAAGACUCGUAUAUCCAGCCUGCCAGAGGAGUUCUUUGGGAGACCUGGUACCACAUACAUGCAUGGAAGUAGAGGUUUUCUCUGGUGGAACUCAGACUGAUACAGUUGCCACAGCACUUUGCAGGUGGGCACGUGGAAAUUCCUUUGAGUAAGUGGCUUUCACAAUAUCACAGAGCAAGUGAGUGACAAUGCAAGGACCAGUUCCAGGACUGCAACCUGGAGUUAU